rnacentral:rRNA from 1 species
UACGGGGGGGGCAAGCGUUGUUCGGAAGUUACUGGGCGUAAAGGGCUCGUAGGCGGCCAACUAAGUCGGACGUGAAAUCCCUCGGCUUAACCGGGGAACUGCGUCUGAUACUGGAUGGCUUGAGUUUGGGAGAGGGAUGCGGAAUUCCAGGUGUAGCGGUGAAAUGCGUAGAUAUCUGGAGGAACACCGGUGGCGAAGGCGGCAUCCUGGACCAACACUGACGCUGAGGAGCGAAAGCCAGGGGAGCAAACGGG